GCUGGUGUAGCUAAGUGGUAUAGCGUUGGUCUCGUAAACCAAAGGUCCUGGUUUCAAAUACCAGCAUCAGCA